rnacentral:piRNA from 1 species
UGGCCUUGUGGGUACUUGUGGA